CCUACGGGUGACUGCAGUGAGGAAUAUUGGUCAAUGGACGAGAGUCUGAACCAGCCAAGUAGCGUGAAGGAUGACUGCCCUAUGGGUUGUAAACUUCUUUUAUAUGGGAAUAAAACGUUCCACGUGUGGGAUUUUGUAUGUACCAUAUGAAUAAGGAUCGGCUAACUCCGUGCCAGCAGCCGCGGUAAUACGGAGGAUCCGAGCGUUAUCCGGAUUUAUUGGGUUUAAAGGGUGCGUAGGUGGAUUGUUAAGUCAGUUGUGAAAGUUUGCGGCGCAACCGUAAAAUUGCAGUUGAAACUGGCAGUCUUGAGUACAGUAGAGGUGGGCGGAAUUCGUGGUGUAGCGGUGAAAUGCUUAGAUAUCACGAAGAACUCCGAUUGCGAAGGCAGUUCACUGGACUGCAACUGACACUGAGGCUCGAAAGUGUGGGUAUCAAACAGGAUUAGAUACCCUUGUAGUC
rnacentral:rRNA from 1 species